rnacentral:rRNA from 1 species
UUGAACGCUGGCGGCAGGCCUAACACAUGCAAGUCGAGCGGUAGCACAGAGAGCUUGCUCUCGGGUGACGAGCGGCGGACGGGUGAGUAAUGUCUGGGAAACUGCCUGAUGGAGGGGGAUAACUACUGGAAACGGUAGCUAAUACCGCAUAAUGUCGCAAGACCAAAGUGGGGGACCUUCGGGCCUCAUGCCAUCAGAUGUGCCCAGAUGGGAUUAGCUAGUAGGUGGGGUAACGGCUCACCUAGGCGACGAUCCCUAGCUGGUCUGAGAGGAUGACCAGCCACACUGGAACUGAGACACGGUCCAGACUCCUACGGGAGGCAGCAGUGGGGAAUAUUGCACAAUGGGCGCAAGCCUGAUGCAGCCAUGCCGCGUGUGUGAAGAAGGCCUUCGGGUUGUAAAGCACUUUCAGCGGGGAGGAAGGCGUUAAGGUUAAUAACCUUGGCGAUUGACGUUACCCGCAGAAGAAGCACCGGCUAACUCCGUGCCAGCAGCCGCGGUAAUACGGAGGGUGCAAGCGUUAAUCGGAAUUACUGGGCGUAAAGCGCACGCAGGCGGUCUGUCAAGUCGGAUGUGAAAUCCCCGGGCUCAACCUGGGAACUGCAUUCGAAACUGGCAGGCUAGAGUCUUGUAGAGGGGGGUAGAAUUCCAGGUGUAGCGGUGAAAUGCGUAGAGAUCUGGAGGAAUACCGGUGGCGAAGGCGGCCCCCUGGACAAAGACUGACGCUCAGGUGCGAAAGCGUGGGGAGCAAACAGGAUUAGAUACCCUGGUAGUCCACGCCGUAAACGAUGUCGAUUUGGAGGUUGUGCCCUUGAGGCGUGGCUUCCGGAGCUAACGCGUUAAAUCGACCGCCUGGGGAGUACGGCCGCAAGGUUAAAACUCAAAUGAAUUGACGGGGGCCCGCACAAGCGGUGGAGCAUGUGGUUUAAUUCGAUGCAACGCGAAGAACCUUACCAGGUCUUGACAUCGAUCUAAAGGCUCCAGAGAUGGAGAGAUAGCUAUAGAGAAGACAGGUGGUGCAUGGUUGUCGUCAGCUCGUGUCGUGAGAUGUUGGGUUAAGUCCCGCAACGAGCGAAACCCUUAUCCUUUGUUGCCAGCGGUUCGGCCGGGAACUCAAAGGAGACUGCCAGUGAUAAACUGGAGGAAGGUGGGGAUGACGUCAAGUCAUCAUGGCCCUUACGACCAGGGCUACACACGUGCUACAAUGGCAUAUACAAAGAGAAGCGACCUCGCGAGAGCAAGCGGACCUCAUAAAGUAUGUCGUAGUCCGGAUUGGAGUCUGCAACUCGACUCCAUGAAGUCGGAAUCGCUAGUAAUCGUAGAUCAGAAUGCUACGGUGAAUACGUUCCCGGGCCUUGUACACACCGCCCGUCACACCAUGGGAGUGGGUUGCAAAAGAAGUAGGUAGCUUAACCUUCGGGAGGGCGCUUACCACUUUGUGAUUCAUGACUGGGGUG